GGCCCCAUCGUCUAGUGGUCCAGGACGCUGGCCUCUCACGCCGGAAACCCGGGUUCGAACCCCGGUGGGGUCA
rnacentral:tRNA from 1 species